CUGUUUCUCCCUGUGAUUAUUUCUGUUAUGCAGACUGAGGUUUCAUUCAUGCUUUGUUACGUUCGAGGGUCGCCUUUCUGUUCAUUAUGUAAAGAUGUGUUUGAUGUUGGGUCAGCCAGCCUUAUUCUAGUUCCUAUCAUUUCUGUGUGUUUAGAGUUCAUAUCUGAUCUGUUUAUUUAGGCAUGGUCAUGCCUUGUCAUCUUGCUGUCUGUGUGGAUAUUGCUGUGUACCUCAACUAUGUUGGAUCUUUAGCUGACACAUGCUGCUGUAAGAGCAGUCCAAAGUACCCAUGUAGAUCUUUACGUGUUAUCUUAUGUGUGAGGUUUACAGUGAAUGUCAGCCAUUUUCAGUUGUUCUCGAGAUUUUGGUAUUCUGUGCAUCUUGCUGGGUUGUAUUGCUGUGUCCAAAUCUAAUGUUGUUUGUAUGGAAAGGGAGAGUUAGGUAUGGGUCUUAUCACACAGAGGUUGCGGUGCCUAGGGCAUAGUAUAUAUCACUGCCCUGGACACCGGACAAGGUCACAGUUCAAGAAGUUAACCUAGGCUGAGUGGAGGUCAGAUCAUCCAGUCCAUAGCAAACUAUGUUGACUCUGUUCUCCAUUCAUCUUGAUGAGGAAAGGAUGGGUAUAUAUCAGUGGUUGAGCAUUUGACUGCAGAUUGAGAAAUCACAGGUUCAAAUCCCCCUCUAUAGGACACUUUGGAUAAAAGCUAAAUGAAUACAUUAUUAUUGUAAUCCUCUCAGGUAGACAGACGUAAGGUUGGUUUGAACCGUGACCUCUCUACCGGGCUGGGUUCACCCAGGUCUGCAGGCAGCUUGGGCACAGUAGAUGUUUCUGCUUAAGAAGCUGUCAGGUCUGGUUUGGUGCAGGUGUUGGGUGAAGCUAAUUUCUGCUGAUGGGUCCAGCCCUAAUCCAAUAAGGAAGGCUAGGGUAUAUGGAAGAUCCAAGGAAGCACUUGCCACAGGGAAAAGAGUAAAUAGUUAGACCACAGGAGAGAUAGUUAGACCACUGAGAGAAGGAGACAUAGUUAGACCACAGGUAGAGAAGGAGAGAUAGUUAGACCCCAGGUAAGAGAGAAGGUGACAUAGUUAGACCACAGGUAGAGAAGGAGACAUAGUUAGACCACAGGUAGAGAAGGAGAGAUGGGGAAUAGUAGAAAGAGAAGGGGAGACCACAGUAUAGUAUAACAGCAUGUUCUUUUGACCGUGCCAUAGAGAAGGAGUUAAGACACAGAUUAUAGAUCUCAGCCAGCCAGUGAGCAAGUCAGUCAGCCAGUUUGAUAGGCACAGGGUAGUGAAGCAGAGUUCUGAUUGGCCCAGGGUGGUAGAGGAGGGCUCUGAUAGGCCCAGGGUUAGCCUAACCCAGGGUGAUGUCCCUCAGACAAAGCAGCCUUCUAGUCCCCUGGUGGCACCACCAGUCACGCUGUCCCAACCCAGUGAACCUGUCAUGUGGCCAGAUAGAACCAGGCAGACAUGAACCAGGCUGGGACUAGCUCUUCAUGAGCUGGAACAAGAAAGGGGUGGAGUAGAGGAGAGGAGGAGGUUGGAGCGGAGGAGAGGAGGGGGGUGGAGGACAGGAAGCAGGCAGAGAGCCAGAGAGAGAGAGUAGGAUUGGGUGUAAUGUGAUCUGGUAUUAGUCCUGGUCAGAGAGUGUUUCUGGUGGGAAAAGUGCAUAGCUCAGGGCUCAGAUAACCUCAUGUCUACAGUUUUCUACAGCAUGGUGUCAUUCAGUACAGCUCUGUGUAUGAGCUCACUUUGGUUUCACUAACCCUGCCUGUUUGUGUCUCUGCUUUUCUCCUUUUAUCCCUGACCACACCCUCAUCCUGCCCUCUUCCUACCUUUCAUCCACCACCUUCAUCCUACCCCCUCAUCCUACAUCCUGAUCCUACACCCUCAUCCUGCCCUCUUUCUACCUUUCAUCCACCACCUUCAUCCUACCCCCUCAUCCUACACCCUCAUCCUACACCCUCAUCCUGCCCUCCCCUUGCACUCCUCCAUCCUGUCUCUCUCUGCAUGCUCCCUCGGUCCUCCUCCUCCUCCUCCUCACCU